CAAUCUUGUCUCAAAGAAGCCACGACCAAGUGUCAGAGCGGGGAAGAUGGCUACGAUUGUGUUCAUCACCAGAUGCAGAGUUUACA